rnacentral:rRNA from 1 species
UACGGAGGGGGCUAGCGUUGUUCGGAAUUACUGGGCGUAAAGCGCGCGUAGGCGGACCUGCAAGUCGGGGGUGAAAGCCCGAGGCUCAACCUCGGAACUGCCUUCGAUACUGCGGGUCUCGAGUCCGGGAGAGGUGAGUGGAAUUCCUAGUGUAGUGGUGAAAUGCGCAGAUAUCAGGAAGAACACCUAUGGCGAAGGCAGCACUCUGGGACGGUACUGACGCUGAGACGCGAAAGCGUGGGGAGCGAACAGG